rnacentral:rRNA from 1 species
CAGUCGCCACGGGAAUACGUAGGGUGCAAGCGUUAAUCGGAAUUACUGGGCGUAAAGCGUGCGCAGGCGGUUAUAUAAGACAGAUGUGAAAUCCCCGGGCUCAACCUGGGAACUGCAUUUGUGACUGUAUAGCUAGAGUACGGCAGAGGGGGAUGGAAUUCCGCGUGUAGCAGUGAAAUGCGUAGAUAUGCGGAGGAACACCGAUGGCGAAGGCAAUCCCCUGGGCCUGUACUGACGCUCAUGCACGAAAGCGUGGGGAGCAAACAGGAUUAGAUACCCGUGUAGUCCCUGUCUCUUAUAU